rnacentral:rRNA from 1 species
UACGUAGGGGGCUAGCGUUGUCCGGAAUCAUUGGGCGUAAAGCGCGUGUAGGCGGUCCGGUAAGUCCGCUGUGAAAGUCGGGGGCUCAACCCUCGGAUGCCGGUGGAUACUGUCGGGCUUGAGUACGGAAGAGGCGAGUGGAAUUCCUGGUGUAGCGGUGAAAUGCGCAGAUAUCAGGAGGAACACCGAUGGCGAAAGCAGGUACCUGGACCAUUACUGACACUCAGCUGCGAAAGCUAGGGGAGCAAACAGG